rnacentral:rRNA from 1 species
GACGAACGCUGGCGGCGUGCCUAAUACAUGCAAGUCGAACGCAGUGGGGACGGGUGAGUAACACGUGGGUAACCUCCCAUCAGAGGGGAUAACACUUGGAAACAGGUGCUAAACCGAUACUGAUGGAUGGACGCGCGGUGGAUUAGCCAGGUGGUGAGGUAACGGCUCACCAAGGCCACGAUGCAUAGCCGACCUGGGAGGAUGAUCGGCCACACUGGGACUGAGACACGGCCCAGACUCCUACGGGAGGCAGCAGUGGGGAAUCUUGGGCAAUGGGCGAAAGCCUGACGGAGCAAUGCCGCGUGAGUGAAGAAGGUUUUCGGGUCGUAAAGCUCUGUCGGUAGAGAAGCGUUAUCUACACAGAAAGCCACGGCUAACUACGUGCCAGCAGCCGCGGUAAUAC